rnacentral:rRNA from 1 species
UACGUAGGGGCUAGCGUUGUCCGGAAUCAUUGGCGUAAAGAGCGUGUAGGCGGUCCGGUAAGUCCGCUGUGAAAGUCGGGGGCUCAACCCUGGAAUGCCGGUGGAUACUGUCGGGCUCGAAUCCGGAAGAGGUGAGUGGAAUUCCGUGGUGUAGCGGUGAAAUGCGCAGAUAUCGGGAAGACACCGGUGGCGAAGGCGGUUCUACUGGGCCUUACCUGACGCUGAGGA